AUUGAGGCUUCUUGGUUAGAAGCUUUAGAAACUUGAGCUAUAUGGGAACACUUUCAGUUUCCCAAGUUAAAACAUGAAAUUGCACAUCAUCAUUUGGAUCCCCAAAGAGGAAAAGAAAAAUUCACAACCUGCCAGUGAAAUACUCAGGCCACUUGGAUGAAGACCGAGGUCCUCCAUAGAAUCCAGGUGUUAUUUACUAACUAAUCAGAAAUUAAUAUCAAAAUAGGACUUAAAAAUAACAAGGCUGUGUUAUUACAGCAGUCUUUCCAGUUGUGUACGCUUUACUAAUCUAAAUUGGGUAACAGAACUGGAGAAAAGGAAGACUACACAGACUUAUCAUAAGCUGUUAGUGAACGUGAUAGAAAUGCGUAAUUUGUUAAAGCGAAUUACAGCUCUGAUUUGUCAAAUGAGGAGGUGAAUUAUCCUAGGAUUUGCUAUGCUGUUGUGGCGUUAGAAGAUUGGAUCUUUAGCAGCAAAGGUAACCUCAACAAUAUUUUCUGCUUAAGAAAGUGCCUUGGUUAAGGUAGACCGUGAUAUCGUCUUUGACUAAGCUCUCUGGGCUAUUGAUUCUGUCAUAUUCCAAAGGCAGUAUUGGUUUGAAGCCGAAUCUCACGGUCAAUGUCAACAUGCAAUCCACAAAGACCCUGGCGCCCUUCCACGGUAUGCACUAACCAAAACUUUCUCACUGUGAAAUCCUUUUUUUAAAAACAAGAAAACAAAAAACAAAAACCAAAAAACCUUACUGUGAAUCCUUUCCCAAGGAAUGGUCCCACCUUCACCUCGGAAAGAGGCGUGGCUUGCUCUGUAAGCAGGUCCACCCUGAGGAGACCGCUGGUGCAAGAGCCCUGCUUGCAGAACACACAGGGGGUUUUCCCACAUUCUUACUGGAGUCAGAUUCGGCAAAGCAUUUCAAGCAACUGCUGGACACUUCAAAUACCACUCCCUGUUAACAACGCCCUGAGUAUCUCACUGUCUCCAGGAUCUGGUUUAAAGGGAAACACAGAAAUGGCCAACAGCUCCCUCCCCAGGCAGGACUGCGAUUUCACAGACAACCUAUAGGCAUCCCCAGUCUGGUGAAUAAACAGGAGAGUGAGAGGAAAACAGCAAUCAUUCAACUCCAGUAGAUGUAAAGCCUCCAGAAGAAUGUGUCCCGGGAAGGUCAGAAAUGUCAUUUUUUUCCUCCAGCACAUUUCAUCUGCCACAUUCCGCCGUCCGAUGUUUGAGGAAGGAGCCCCGCCUUUCCUUCAGGGGUUCUUGUCGCCAAGUUUGAUGGUGACAGUUUUCACUUCUGUGUAUUCGGCCAAAGCGUAUUCACCUCUGUGAUCACAGAAAAGAGGAAAAUUCAAAAUGGGUACAUCCCUUAGCCAUUGUGUAGAAACUGUUCUGAGGCUUCAUCAUUCCAUCAGGCCGU
rnacentral:lncRNA from 1 species